AGUGAACGCUGGCGGUAGGCCUAACACAUGCAAGUCGAACGGCAGCACAGUAAGAGCUUGCUCUUACGGGUGGCGAGUGGCGGACGGGUGAGGAAUACAUCGGAAUCUACUUUUUCGUGGGGGAUAACGUAGGGAAACUUACGCUAAUACCGCAUACGACCUACGGGUGAAAGCAGGGGAUCUUCGGACCUUGCGCGAUUGAAUGAGCCGAUGUCGGAUUAGCUAGUUGGCGGGGUAAAGGCCCAGCAAGGCGACGAUCGGUAGCUGGUCUGAGAGGAUGGUCAGCCACACUGGAACUGAGCCACGGUCCAGACUCCUACGGGAGGCAGCAGUGGGGAAUAUUGGACAAUGGGCGCAAGCCUGAUCCAGCCAUACCGCGUGGGUGAAGAAGGCCUUCGGGUUGUAAAGCCCUUUUGUUGGGAAAGAAAAGCAGCAGGUUAAUACCCCGCUGUUCUGACGGUACCCAAAGAAUAAGCAUCGGCUAACUUCGUG
rnacentral:rRNA from 1 species